ensembl:snRNA U6 U6 spliceosomal RNA
GUGCUCACUUUGGCAGCACUUAUACUCAAAUUGAAAUGAUACAGAGAUGAUUAGCAAUCAUCUAUGCCCCUAUGCAAGGAUGACACACAAAUGUGUGAAGCAUUCCAUAUUAAA